AACGCACGAGACCUGCGGACCUGCGGAAGGAUCAUUAGUGGACGCCCUCACGGGCUUAUAACUAUUCCAAACCUCUGUGAACCGUGCCCUUCGGGGCUAUUUUACAAACAUGGUGUAAUGAACGUCAUAUAUCAUAACAAAACAAAACUUUUAACAAUGGAUCUCU
rnacentral:misc_RNA from 1 species